UUUAACUGAAGAGUUUGAUCAUGGCUCAGAUUGAACGCUGGCGGCAGGCUUAACACAUGCAAGUCGAGCGGGGGAAGGUAGCUUGCUACCGGACCUAGCGGCGGACGGGUGAGUAAUGCUUAGGAAUCUGCCUAUUAGUGGGGGACAACAUCUCGAAAGGGAUGCUAAUACCGCAUACGUCCUACGGGAGAAAGCAGGGGAUCUUCGGACCUUGCGCUAAUAGAUGAGCCUAAGUCGGAUUAGCUAGUUGGUGGGGUAAAGGCCUACCAAGGCGACGAUCUGUAGCGGGUCUGAGAGGAUGAUCCGCCACACUGGGACU
rnacentral:rRNA from 1 species